UUUGUCUUUAGUUGAUGGCUGAUGGUUUUUACUAUGACAUACUCUUUUCUCUGUUUUGCAUGCAGAUUUACUCUGCUUUUUUCUUUUCAUUAUAAUGCUGUGCUUGGGUCAUCUUGUUUUGUUAGUGUUCCAUGACAGAUGAUGCAUGAUUCAAAAUCCACAACAGAGGAGCUUCAGGGUGGUAUGUACUGUCAUCCUCAGAAAAAAAUAUUCUGGAGCAAAAGCGGAACAAAUAGUGUGCAGAGGGAACAUAAUAAGAGCAUCAUAAAACAGGAGUAAACAGUUAUUAUGGCCUAAGGAAUGGGGUCUGUGGUCGGGGAAACACCACGGUUAGGCAAGAAAGCCACUUUCGCCAUUUUUCCUGUUUUUCUCCUCUUGGUUCUCUCCAGUCUUUUUUAUCUGUUGAUAUUCUCUAACCUGUGUUUUACCUGCUAUGAUUAAA